UACGAAGGUGGCGAAUGAUACUCGGAAUAACUGGGCGUAAAGCGCGCGUAGGUGGUUGAGUCAGUCAGAUGUGAAAGCCCCGGGCUUAACCUGGGAACUGCACCUGAUACUGCUUGACUAGAGUACGGUAGAGGGCAGUGGAAUUUCCUGUGUAGCGGUGAAAUGCGUAGAUAUAGGAAGGAACACCAGUGGCGAAGGCGACUGCCUGGACUGAUACUGACACUGAGGUGCGAAAGCGUGGGUAGCAAACAGG
rnacentral:misc_RNA from 1 species